rnacentral:rRNA from 1 species
AUUGAACGCUGGCGGAAUGCUUUACACAUGCAAGUCGAACGGCAGCACGGACUUCGGUCUGGUGGCGAGUGGCGAACGGGUGAGUAAUGUAUCGGAACGUGCCCAGUCGUGGGGGAUAACGUAGUGAAAAUUACGCUAAUACCGCAUACGAUCUAUGGAUGACAGCGGGGGAUCGCAAGACCUCGAGCGAUUGGAGCGGCCGAUAUCAGAUUAGGUAGUUGGGGGGGUAAAGGCGCACCAAGCCAACGAUCUGUAGCUGGUCUGAGAGGACGACCAGCCACUCUGGAACUGAGACACGGUCCAGACUGCUACGGGAGGCAGCAGUAGGAAAUUUUGGAGAAUGGGCGAAAGCCUGAUCCAACCAGUCCGCGUGCAGGAUUAAGGCCCUCGGGUUGUAAACUGCUUUUGUACAGAACGAAAAGGUUUCUACUAAUACUAGGAGCUCAUGACGGUACUGUAAGAAUAAGCACCGGCUAACUACGGGCCAGCCGCCGCCGUAA